rnacentral:lncRNA from 8 species
AUACCAUCAGUACCUCCCAGUAGAUACCAUCAGUACCUCCCAAUAGAUACCAUUCAGUACCUCCCAGUAGAUACCAUCAAUACCAUUCAGUACCUCUCAAUAGAUACCAUCAGUACCAUUCAGUACCUCCCAGUAGAUACCAUUCAGUACCUCCCAAUAGGUACCAUUCAGUACCUCCCAAUAGAUACCAUCAAUACCAUUCAAUACCUCCCAGUAGAUACCAUCAGUACCAUUCAGUACCACCCAGUAGAUACCAUACAGUACCUCCCAAUAGGUACUAUUCAGUACCUCCCAAUAGAUACCAUCAGUACCAUUCAGUACCUCCCAGUAGUUACCCUUCAGUACCUCCCAAUAGAUACCCUUCAGUACCUCCCAAUAGAUAUCAUUCAGUACCUCCCAAUAGAUACCAUUCAGUACCUCCCAAUAGAUACCAUCAGUACCAUUCAGUACCUCCCAAUAGAUACCAUUCAGUACCUCCCAAUAGGUACCAUUCAGUACCUCCCAGUAGGUACCAUCAGUACCAUUCAGUACCUCCCAAUAGAUACCAUCAAUACUAUUCAGUACCUCCCAGUAGAUACCAUUCAGUACCUCCCAAUAGGUACCAUUCAGUACCUCCCAAUAGAUACCAUCAGUGCCAUUCAGUACCUCCCAGUAGAUACCCUUCAGUACCUCACAAUAGAUACCAUUCAGUACCUCCCAAUAGAUACCAUUCAGUACCUCCCAGUAGAUACCAUCAAUACCAUUCAGUACCUCCCAAUAGGUACCAUCAGUACCAUUCAGUACCUCCCAAUAGAUAUCAUUCAGUACCUCCCAAUAGAUACCAUUCAGUACCUCCCAAUAGAUAGCAUCAAUACCAUUCAGUACCUCCCAAUAGAUACCAUCAAUGCCAUUCAGUACCUCCCAAUAGAUACCAUCAAUACUAUUCAGUACCUCCCAAUAGAUACCAUUCAGUACCUCCCAAUAGAUACCAUCAAUACCAUUCAGUACCUCCCAAGAGAUACCAUUCAGUACCUCCCAGUAGAUACCAUCAAUACCAUCAAUACUAUUCAGUACCUCCCAAUAGAUACCAUUCAGUAUCUCCCAAUAGAUACCAUCAAUACCAUCAAUACUGUUCAGUACCUCCCAAUAGAUACCAUCAAUACUAUUCAGUACCUCCCAAUAGAUACCAUUCAGUACCUCCCAAUAGAUACCAUUCAGUACCUCCCAAUAGAUACCAUCAAUGCCAUUCAGUACCUCCCAGUAGAUACCAUCAGUACCAUUCAGUACCUCCCAAUAGAUACCAUUCAGUGCCUCCCAAUAGAUACCAUCAGUACCUCCCAAUAG